rnacentral:lncRNA from 1 species
GCAAACACCGUUUCUUCACGGUCUGGACUAAACUGUGUAUAAUAAUUUUUAAAUAUUGCAAAUGUGGAAUUUUCAUAUAUAGGGCCAAAUUUGCACAACAGACAUUCCCAAUCAGAGUUCUUGGUCAUUCCAAAUCAACACUUCCCCAUGCCUCCCCAAAUCAAAAAAUUGUAAUUUGACACUUGAAAGAACUAGCUCAUAUAAAAUGAGUGUAGACAGGAGGUCACAACCAUCCAAUUUUUUAUCCUGUCGCUGAUCACUUCACACUUAGAAUGCUUGGAGGGUCUUAAGUACUAAGCUCCAUUAGUGAACAAGUGUCUCUUGAAUACACUAUUAACACCCUACUGAGACAGUUUUUGCUGUUGGGAAAUCUUCCACUUGCUAAGACUCUUAUUCUACCUCUUUUCCCCUGCUGUUUCUGAGGUUGUCAUGAACAGAUAGAUGAUAGGUUCCUGUUGGUGGAUAUUUACAGACCCAGGAGAAAUACGGUCAUUUCAUUAUGACAGCUUCACCCAUAAUCCCUAGGCUCUUUCUCUAUUCAUUCUGUGCUGACCCUUCUCAUGCCAAUUCACUUACCAGAGACAGUUCUGAUAGACUUCCAUAUGGAGGUCUGAAGGACAGGGCUGGAACAAUGGCAAGAAGGCAGAGUUACCCUAAACUUACGGAGAUGUUUGUGAGAAUUAGGGUCUCAUGAACUGCUGUGUUAGUGGUAUAGUUGUUCAGACGGUGAUGUGAAUUCUACAGGUAGGUAGGUCCUGUGGGCUUUAGUGCUGUUACAGGUAUGUAACCUUAGGCUAGUAACUGAGCCUCCGUAUGCUUUGGUUUCGAGAAUAACAGUGAAGUGAGAAAAAUCCAGGUACCCACCCCACAGGUUUGACGGGAGCAAGGCGUUAAGUAAAGUAAGGAAAUCACUUGGAAUCAUCGUAUCUGGCGCACAGUAAGUACUCAGGAGAUGUUAAAUCUCAUUAUUAUUCAGUGAGUUACAGAAUAACCAUCUGUCAACAGAUGAAGAGUACUUACAUAAAUAUCUGCUAACCUAACCAUAUGUAUAUAGGCCAUCCCUAAUUUAAUUUUUUUUUAAAAUACUCCAACUUUGUACCAUAUGGUCGAGUCAAGAUUCAAGGGGUUUGAAUCUUUACCUCUUGUAAGCUGUAAAACCUUUGGUUCCUCUACAUAUAUUAGCUAAGGAUCUGGUGCGUCAUAGGCAGUGUACUGCUCUUUGGCAGCCAGUGGGAGGCAUAAUCAAAACAGCUCCUGGGUUCCUGCUACUUUCAUCAAUAUUUUAGCCACUGGGAGCCUCGAUUUACUAAUCUCUGAGAUGGGGAUAAUAAUGUGACCCCCCGUAAGGUUUUUGGAAGGAUGAAAUGAGUCCUAAAUCUGCGCAGGUUCUAGAACACAAGAGUACAACUGCAUAAAGGCUGGUUCCCUUUCCUUUUGGCUGUAAAAGCAGCUUUUGACAGAAUCUCGCUAAUAAUCAAUACGAGUUAUACUGCUCUUGAUUUAAGUUCAGCCCUGUUGAAGUGAUAUUUAGCGUUCCAAGCAAGGCUGUUUAUUAAGCUGAUGACGGUGCCCAAGUUUCAGUAAAACAAUAAAGGCAAUAGAGGUGAUGCAGGGACCCUAUUCUUUGCUAUGUAAAUCACAUUCUUGAUUAUUUUUUUGUAUUCUUACCUCUCUGAAUUCAUACUUCCAACAAAGGAUUUAUGAUGGUAUAUUGUAUAUUUCCAUACUUUUCAAAUAAACCUCUUUCUUUUCUCAGAAUUUUCAUUCUGAGACUCGGAAUGAAAACUGUCCCUUGGAAGUUGUGAAUGAGGCCCAUAAUUCACUCUCUUAGAGCCUAUUGGCGGUUUCCUCCUUGACACCACUCCACUCGAGGCUCUCUCCUUUUCUUAGCUCUAGUUCUUGACUCUAAGCAUACUGUGUUGAGAGUUCCUGUUGGAUCUAACCCUGUACAAAAAGCGUUUGCCUUUAUUUUUCCAUGGCCUUUUGAUGUGUCUCUACCCAGAAGCCAGAGGGAGGUUAUUACAUCCCUGUGUAAAGCCUUCCAAAACUCCCAUUGUCCUUGUGACAAAGUUCUUUUUCCGGAUGUAAUAUGGAUGCUACCCAAUAAAACACUAAUGAGCUAUGUGUCUAACUUUACCUUUACUUACUUGGCAUUAAGAGGAUACAGAUGCACAAGAGAUUAAUCUUAAUGAUACAUUUUAAUCAGUACAAUAUACCUCAAACAUCAUUUCAACAUGGAAACAAUACGCAGAGUCACUACUGAGGUAAGUUUUAUUCAGGAAGUCAUCAAAACAAUGUGUGUUUUAUAAUCAUAGCAAUUUCAUUUUGAGUUUUGAAUUUCAUGUGCCCAGUGGUACAUACGUGGUAAGUACUUACUUGCACACUGUCAGGAUUUUCCUGUCCAUUCACAGCUGUGUAGUCACAUUAACCUUCCUCAUGUUCCUCAUGUCUCUGUUGUUCUAAAGCUGUCCCAUUCCCAUCCAUCCCCACCUCAUUGCCAGGUAGUAGUUCACUUGCUUCUUGGGUGAAUAGAGUCUCUUGCCAAGUAAAGCCUUCCCAUGGCCCUGUCUUUGUGUGCUUCUUUUGCCAAGGUUGUAGAAGCACACGCUUUCUUCACAGCACAUCCUUCAGUUGUCAUUGUUAAUUUAUCAAUGUGGUUAUUUUAUAAUAAACAUCUGGAUUCCUAUUAAACAAAGGACCCCAUGAAAGUAGGAGGCCUUGCUUGGUUUUAUUCAAGACUGUAUUCUGAGAGGUCUCCAGGAUACUACCUGGGCCACUGUAGGAGAUUCUGAGCAAAAAGAUGAACAAAUGCAUGCUUGAACCACAUGGUAUCUGCAUGAAAUGAUCUCAUCCAUCGUCAGUCCAGGCCUCACAGAACAAAGUUAACGAGUAUGUUGAGACAGAGCUAGGUCUCUCAUAGGAUUCUCUUCCUCCAACUUCCUCAUUCUUUUUGUGGUACUGUAAUG